CAAGACACAACAACAACAAUGAACAACAUCAUCAUCCUCAUCUGGACUCUCACACUGUUUGCUCAAGAGUGUAGAGGACAGUACACUGUAACUCAGAGUCCAUCAUUAAUAACAGCAGCUCAAGGACAAGACAUCAAAAUAAACUGUAAAACCAGCAGUAGAGUGUGUGAUGGAUAUCGUUUAGCCUGGUACUUACAGAAACCUGGAGAAGCUCCUAAACUCCUCAUAUAUUAUGCAACGAACCGUUACACUGGAACUCCUUCUAGAUUCAGUGGCAGUGGAUCUAACAGUGAUUUCACUCUGACCAUCAGUGGAGUCCAGACUGAAGAUACAGGAGAUUAUUACUGUCAGAGUGUACACUGUCCUAGUAGCUGGGUGUUCACACAGUGAUACAGAGUCGUACAAAAACCUCCGUCAGUCAGAGUCACAGUGACUGCACUGAUACAGCUGAGAGACACUGCAGCUGCUGAUGAGAGGAUCACAAACAACACAAUGACUUCAAGUAACACAUUUUCCAGAGAUUAUGGCAUACCAACAUUAAUAUGAACUGUAUUUAUUUACCUACAUGAACAUUUAAAUAACAGAUUCAUCUGCUCUAGUCUUGUCUGCUUGAGGACUAAAUGUCUGGAACAAUGUACUCUGGACAGAAAAGUCAAAGGUUGAGCAGUUUUCUGAAACUUAAAUGGAAAUUUCAACAGGAUAAUGACAUUAAUCAUUCAAGAGGAUUGAUUGAGAAGAAUGAAAUGGAGGGUUUUAAUAACUGUAGCGAAUCGGGAGGAGUUUCAAAUGAACGCUAGACAUACAUUCUUUAGGUAGGACCAGAGCCAUAUAGAGAGAGAGUUGCGACAACUGAAGUUCGAAAUGUCAUGUGAUUCGUGUAGACUUCAAAUAGUUCCAGGAAGUUCGUUUGCGGCCAUUCAAACUGAAAGAGAAGAGUGACAGAACUGCGAUUUCUGGUAAUUAGGAGUCAAUAAAUGCAUUUUAUUCUAUAUAAUUAUACAAAACACACCGACAUAUGUAUGUAGCGUGAUUAUGUACUUACAACGAUGUUUUUAAAAUAUAAAAUCAGGUCCUUUCUGAGGAUUAGUUACCGUUAUUUGCUGUUAUUUCAAAAACUCAUUUCAGGCUAACGUUAAGUUGUAAAAAUGGGUUGCUGUUGCCUUUUUAUGUUACACAUUAUUCUUUUUUUCACUGAUGUCAUGUUAACUAAUGUCAUAUUGAUGACUUUAUGACUUCCAGAUAGUACAGACAGGCUGGUGACAGAUGAUUUUCAGCUCGCACCGCACAAGGGGUCAAUUAACUAUAAGCAGCAGUAAUUAGCAUGUUAAGUAAAUGUAAAAUGAAGCUUAUUAGUUACAAUUCAUACAAUUACACAUAGUAAUAUAAUUGUGUAUUAUAGAUAUUAUUUAUCUAAUGUAUAAUUCUUACAAUACUUAUUCGUAUACACAAUAUAUUCAGAUUUAAAACAACUUAAGCAUACUCAUAUAUAAACAUGU